rnacentral:rRNA from 1 species
CCUACUGGGGGCUGCAGUGGGGAAUAUUGGACAAUGGGGGCAACCCUGAUCCAGCCAUGCCGCGUGUGUGAAGAAGGCCCUCGGGUUGUAAAGCACUUUCAGUGAGGAAGAACGCCUGGUGGUUAAUACCCAUCAGGAAAGACAUCACUCACAGAAGAAGCACCGGCUAACUCCGUGCCAGCAGCCGCGGUAAUACGGAGGGUGCGAGCGUUAAUCAGAAUUACUGGGCGUAAAGCGCGCGUAGGUGGCUUGAUAAGCCGGUUGUGAAAGCCCCGGGCUCAACCUGGGAACGGCAUCCGGAACUGUCAAGCUAGAGUGCAGGAGAGGAAGGUAGAAUUCCCGGUGUAGCGGUGAAAUGCGUAGAGAUCGGGAGGAAUACCAGUGGCGAAGGCGGCCUUCUGGACUGACACUGACACUGAGGUGCGAAAGCGUGGGUAGCAAACAGGAUUAGAUACCCUUGUAGUC